UAUUUAUAAUGAUAUAAAUUAGUAACUAUAUCAACACAUAUGAAGGAACUCGGCAAAUAUUUAUUUAGACUGUUUAACAAAAACAUAACUUGUAGAUUCUUUAUUAUAAGCUUAACCUGCUCAGUGAUUAUAAUUUAACAGCCGCAGUACACUGACUGUGCUAAGGUAGCAUAAUCAAUUGGUCUUUAAUUGGGAUCUGGCAUGAAUGGAUUUACUAUGUAAGACUGUCUUGUUGAAGUAUAUUAUGAAUUUACUUAUAGGGUGAAAAUUCCCUUAAAUUUAACAAAAGACGAGAAGACCCUUAGACUUUUUUAAAUUUUAAAUUAUGUUUUUAUUAUUUUGUUGGGGCGACAAUGUUUCAAUUUUUAACAAACAGUCAAUAAAAAUUUUUAAGAAAAUAUAUUUUAAGAAAAAUUAAAGUACCUAAGGGAUAACAGCAUAAUUAAUUAUUUAGAUUGUGACCUCGAUGUUGGACUAGGUAAUAAAUUGUCAAGAAGAUAUUUUAUUUAGUUCUGUUCCAACUUUAUCCACCUA
rnacentral:rRNA from 1 species